rnacentral:rRNA from 1 species
UUUAAAUGGCCGCAGUAUACUAACUGUGCAAAGGUAGCAUAAUCAUUAGUCUUUUAAUUGAAGGCUGGUAUGAAUGGUUGGACGAGAUAUUAACUGUUUCAUAAAAAUUUAUAAUAGAAUUUUAUUUUUUAGUCAAAAAGCUAAAAUAUAUUUAAAAGACGAGAAGACCCUAUAAAUCUUUAUAUUUAGGUUAUUAUAAUUUUAUAGAUUUUUUUUGUUAUAAUAAUUGAUAAUAUUUUAUUGGGGUGAUAUUAAAAUUUGAUAAACUUUUAAUUGUUUAAAUCAUUAAUUUAUGAAUAAUUGAUCCGUUAUUAGUGAUUAAAAAAAUAAGUUACUUUAGGGAUAACAGCGUAAUUUUUUUGGAGAGUUCAUAUCGAUAAAAAAGAUUGCGACCUCGAUGUUGGAUUAAGGUAUAAUUUUAGGUG